ACCGUGGAGGGUCAUUGGAAACUGGAAAACUGGAGUGCAGAAGAGGAAAGUGCAAUUCCAUGUGUAGCGGUGAAAUGCGCAGAGAUAUGGAGGAACACCAGUGGCGAAGGCGACUUUCUGGUCUGUAACUGACGCUGAUGUGCGAAAGCGUGGGGAUCAAACAGGAUUAGAUACCCUGGUAGUCCACGCCGUAAACGAUGAGUGCUAAGUGUUAGGGGGUUUCCGCCCUUUAGUGCUGCAGCUAACGCAUUAAGCACUCCGCCUGGGGAGUACGACCGCAAGGUUGAAACUCAAAGGAAUUGACGGGGACCCGCACAAGCGGUGGAGCAUGUGGUGUAAUUCGAAGCAACGCGAAGAACCUUACCAAAUCUUGACAUCCUUUGACCGCUCUAGAGAUAGAGUCUUCCCCUUCGGGGGACAAAGUGACAGGUGGUGCAUGGUCGUCGUCAGCUCGUGUCGUGAGAUGUUGGGUUAAGUCCCGCAACGAGCGCAACCCUUAAGCUUAGUUGCCAUCAUUUAGUUGGGCACUCUAAGUUGACUGCCGGUGACAAACCGGAGGAAGGUGGGGAUGACGUCAAAUCAUCAUGCCCCUUAUGAUUUGGGCUACACACGUGCUACAAUGGACAAUACAAAGGGCAGCGAAACCGCGAGGUCAAGCAAAUCCCAUAAAGUUGUUCUCAGUUCGGAUUGUAGUCUGCAACUCGACUACAUGAAGCUGGAAUCGCUAGUAAUCGUAGAUCAGCAUGCUACGGUGAAUACGUUCCCGGGUCUUGUACACACCGCCCGUCACACCACGAGAGUUUGUAACACCCGAAGCCGGUGGAG
rnacentral:rRNA from 1 species